rnacentral:tRNA from 1 species
UCCCUGGUGGUCCAGUGGCUAUAAGACUCUGCCCUUGCAAUGCAGGGGGCCUGGAUUUGAUCCCUGUCAGGGAA